rnacentral:lncRNA from 1 species
GACCUAAUAUGUGUAAAUCAAUCCGGCUAGAUUCCUGCACCCAGUUAACCAGUUGUAGCCUGUAGGUGAUAAGACUAAUAUUAGUAUAUAAUAGCGAAGCAGAGCAGCCAGCCAGCAGGUGAGGUGAGGUGAGGUGAGUGAGGUCUACACUCUACUCUGUAAGUCUGUCAUUAAGACAAACAGGUUACCUGCAACAUUUGUUUCCAUUUAUAACAUUUUAUUUUCCUUUCGGGCGCGAUGUUGUUUUCUUUCUUCCUGUUCCCGUCCGACAAAUAAAGGGGCCACGGGUCGACAGGACACACGUGCACUCCCAC